GGUUAUGGCUCAGCGGUAGAGCACUCUCCUUGCAUGUGCAAGGCCCUGGGUUUGAUUCUCAGCACCA
rnacentral:tRNA from 1 species